CGCCUGUAGGUGAGUCUCUGUGAACCAGUUACUUUCCACUCUGUGGGGCUUCCCACCUGGGAGGGAUGGGGUUGCUUAUAUCACGUAAUCGCCCCUCCUACCUCUUGAUGUGGCCUCCUCUUUGUCUUCUGGAGUAGGGUAUCUUUUUGAAGGUUUCCGGUCCAUUUGGGUGAAGAGUGCUCAGCCUUUAGUUGUGACUUUUGUUGUUUUUAGGAGAGAAGUUGAGCUCCAGUCCUCCUGUUCUGCCCUCUUAAUCCCAUCUCUCCUGUCAACUUUUUCUAAUCAUCUUCUAAUUACACCAGUGAUUCUCCACAGGGGCCCAUUGUGUCUCUCGGGGGAACUUGACACUGUCUGGAGACCACUUGGCUUGCUGCUGAGGUCUGAAGGAGCCCAAACAGACGGAGACAGUUGGCCGGACUGGCAAGGAGUGCUGCUGUGGGUGGCGCCCAGGGGUGUCGCUACAUCCUGCUGUGUCCAGGACAGCCCCACAACGAGGAAUUGUCAGCCCCAAAGGUCAGUCGUGCUGAGAUGGAGGAACCCCGCCCCAAAGGCUUACCCCCAUGGACAAGCAUCACAGCAAAUCUGGGAAGCUCCUUAGACAUGUAGACUCCUGGGCCCCACCCCAGACCAUGUACAUCAGACUCUGCGUUUGAGCAGCGCCCCCCAGAGGAGUUCUGUGUUCGUUUGAGACCCAGACUGCACAGUGAGGUAGCCAGGGCUUGCGUGGAUUACACAUGUGGAUAACAGUUGCCAUGAAGGCAACAGCUCCAGGAGUUCCCACUGUGACGCAGUGGGUUCAUGAUCCAGCUUGUCUCUGUGGAGGUGCCGGUUCGAUCCCCCACCCGGAUCAGGGGGUGAAGGUUGCUGCAGCUGUGGUGUAAGUUGCAGCUCUGGCUUGGUUUGGACUGGAUCCCUGGCUCAGGAACUUCCACGUGUUGCACUGAGGAUGAAAAAGGGAAAGAGGGAAGGAAGAGGGAGGGAGAAGGAAGGAAGGAGGCAUGAAAGCAAGCGCUACAGAGAAAAGCAAUUGAAAAACUAAAGCUUUACAGAUCACAUGUAUUAAAUAAAGUCUGCUUUGCAAAGACUGUGUAAUCUCCC
rnacentral:lncRNA from 1 species